CUGGCCUUGACAUGCCACUAACGAAGCAGAGAUGCAUUAGGUGCCCGAAAGGGAAAGUGGACACAGGUGCUGCAUGGCUGUCGUCAGCUCGUGUCGUGAGAUGUUGGGUUAAGUCCCGCAACGAGCGCAACCCUUGCCAUUAAUUGCCAUCAUUUAGUUGGGCACUUUAAUGGGACUGCCGGUGACAAACCGGAGGAAGGUGGGGAUGACGUCAAGUCCUCAUGGCCCUUAUGGCCAGGGCUUCACACGUAAUACAAUGGUCGGUACAGAGAGUUGCCAACCCGCGAGGGGGAGCUAAUCUCAGAAAGCCGAUCGUAGUCCGGAUUGUUCUCUGCAACUCGAGAGCAUGAAGUCGGAAUCGCUAG
rnacentral:rRNA from 1 species